UUUUUAGUGUUUUAUAUGUUUGGUUUUAUUAUAUUUUUAAUAUUUGUAGUCAAUG
rnacentral:tRNA from 1 species